AAGUCGUAACAAGGUUUCCGUAGGUGAACCUGCGGAAGGAUCAUUUCCAAAAAAAAAAAAAUGAACAUUUAUAUACACCGUAUCUGGUGUGUGAAGUGUGUGGUGGUAUCCAAAACAUUUUUUAAUUUACUCUCUCUGACAACAUGGUCAUCGCGUAUGCCAAGUUUGGAAGAGAGAGGCCUUGAUGAACCACAUCCGCAAAUGUAUUGGCGUUUGUUUGUCUAAACAAACAACACUAUACAUCAUCGGACGUUAACAUUAUACUGUCUCGAUAUAUUUCUACUCGGAUUUGCACUUGUUGCCCUAAGGCACCAGGUCAAAACCAACAACACAAAAGUACCAAUAUACAGACAACUUUUAACGGUGGAUCUCUUGGCUCGU
rnacentral:misc_RNA from 1 species